GAGCGAGUGAAUCGCCGCCACCCUGUUACAAGUACGGAAAGCUGCCUCUUUGGGAGCGCUAAAAAAAGGUUAAAACGACAGACAAGCAUAAUCGUGUAUGCGACCAACCAAACACAACCUCAGAUCCAGCGAACAGCAAUGUAUUCUCUCCGCCGCGCCACCGCGGCGCCGUCGCAGGCGGCGCCGCUAGAUUACCAGGAUCCGCAGUCGCAGCACCCCUUCCACUGGCACUACUCGGAGUUCGACGACAGCAAUUUCCAAAUCCGCGGCCGCACUCUCUUCUUCAUCGUCGUCCUCUUCGCAAUCAUUCUCUUAAUCACUUUCGUCGUUCUCUACGCGCGUUGGGUGUGCCGGUUCCGUCCCCGUCCGAUUCAGUCCGCCCACGCGCCGCCGCUCGUCUCGGCGGCGCCUCCGCCGCCGCCGCGCGGCCUCGAUCCGUGCGUCAUCGAUAGCAUCCCGAUCGCGCUUCACCGGUCCUCCGUAAACGGCGGCGGAAACGUCGGGGAAACGGAGUGCUGUAUCUGUCUCGGGAUUUUUCAGGACGGCGAUAAGGUAGAUUAGUUAUGGAUGAGAGUUUUUACAACAUAAGAUGACAACAUGCACUAAAGUGGGCAAUUGGGCAUAAAUAUGGGGUAGGACUCACAUCCACCAUCCAGCAAUAAAUACCCCCAAGUAUGAUUGGCUUUUGAGUUUCCUGUCAAGUCAUGAAUCAUCUUCGUAUCAACUAGAAUUUGCCUGUCUCUAAAGGAUGGGAUAGCUUUAAGAUUAUCCAUGCCCAGAAUUUGGGUAGGCAGUGUAAUGAGAUAAAUUCUUUAUGAAUUUUAUGGAUAUCAUUUCCAUGUGUGGAGGCCUGGGGGAAUUGCAAUAUUAGAGUUUAUUGUGCCAGGGCAUUGGACAGCUCAGUUGGUCAGAUAGGUAAAGGUUGGGAAGAAAGAGGGAUUGAGUUACCAUGAUUUACAUCCUCACAUAUCUGCGGGGUCCUUGGGAUUGGGGAUUCAACCUUUUGGAAA